rnacentral:rRNA from 1 species
AGGAUGAACGCUAGCGGCAGGCCUAAUACAUGCAAGUCGAACGAUAGAUAGAAGCUUGCUUUUAUCGAAAGUGGCGCACGGGUGCGUAACGCGUAUGCAACCUACCUUAAUCUGGGGGAUAGCCCGGAGAAAUCCGGAUUAACACCGCAUAAAAACACAGGAUAGCAUUAUCCAAUGUUCAAAUAUUUAUAGGAUUGAGAUGGGCAUGCGUGUCAUUAGCUAGUUGGCGGGGUAACGGCCCACCAAGGCGACGAUGACUAGGGGAUCUGAGAGGAUGGCCCCCCACACUGGUACUGAGACACGGACCAGACUCCUACGGGAGGCAGCAGUAAGGAAUAUUGGUCAAUGGAGGCAACUCUGAACCAGCCAUGCCGCGUGCAGGAAGACUGCCCUAUGGGUUGUAAACUGCUUUUAUCCGGGAAUAAACCUACUUACGUGUAAGUAGCUGAAUGUACCGGAAGAAUAAGGAUCGGCUAACUCCGUGCCAGCAGCCGCGGUAAUACGGAGGAUCCAAGCGUUAUCCGGAUUUAUUGGGUUUAAAGGGUGCGUAGGCGGCCUGUUAAGUCAGGGGUGAAAGACGGUAGCUCAACUAUCGCAGUGCCCUUGAUACUGAUGGGCUUGAAUGGACUAGAGGUAGGCGGAAUGAGACAAGUAGCGGUGAAAUGCAUAGAUAUGUCUCAGAACACCGAUUGCGAAGGCAGCUUACUAUGGUCUUAUUGACGCUGAGGCACGAAAGCGUGGGGAUCAAACAGGAUUAGAUACCCUGGUAGUCCACGCCCUAAACGAUGAACACUCGCUGUUGGCGAUACACAGUCAGCGGCUAAGCGAAAGCGUUAAG